AAAGGGCUUUUCUUAAUUGACAGUUUUAAGUUGUAGACAUUAAUAAUCUAACAAACAAAACAUGCCAGUUUUACUGAUUCUAGUUUUUGCUGGAUUGAGGAACUUUUCAUUAUUUAGGGAAACUUUUGAAUGUAGUACUGUGGAGGAAAUCAUCCUUAAAAUAGCAUUUCACACAUAGGGCCAAUAAUUUUUACUUAGAACUGAAAUUGUCAAGGAAACCCCUGCAGCAUGUAACGUCGUAUUGUAGAAGAGCUGGGCAUACCUCUUCCUCUAGGCCAGUUCAGAGGCCACUGGCGGCCCAAGUAGUGUGGGGCCCACUGGCGUGAGCAGUCCCUGUGCCCAUGCCCAUGGUGGUGCUUGACUUUGCUUUGGGGCUUAAUCCUAGUAUCAUUUGGCCAUUAAUUUUUAAUUAAGUUUAUACUUGAAUAAUCAGUUUUACUCCUGAAAAAUUUUGAAGCCAGCACUUGAAUUUGUUUAUAUUCACUUACUUUGUAUAUGAACUUAUGACAUUAGAGUUUGUAAAACUACCUUAACGUGGCUCAUGCAUCUGAUGUUAGAGGGACUGGUCAGUUCAUUACAGGGCGAAUUAUUGGCAGCUGGCUAGUCAGAGCAACUGAUGGGUGGCUUUUUGUGUGUGUGUGUGAGACGGAGUCUCACUCUGUCACCCAGGCUGGAGUUCAGUGGCGCGAUCUCGGCUGACUACAACCUCCGCCUCCCGGGUUCAAGCAAUUCUUCUGCCUCAGCCUCCUGAACAGCUAGGAUUACAGGUGCCUGCCACCACGCCUGGCUAAUAUUUUUUGUAUUUUUAGUAGAGACAGGGUUCCACCAUGUUGGUCAGACUAGUCUGGAACUCCUGACCUCAUGAUCCGCCUGUAUCGGCCUCCCAAAGUGCUGGGAUUACAGGCAUGAGUGGUGGCUCCAUUUUUAAACCAUUUGUUAUCCUAUGUAGACAGAGCUUUAUUGCCCUGGAAAAGAUUUUUUUUUUUUUUAAACUCUCAUGCAGUUCAGUCUUUUCAUCAUUUCACUUUGUGAGUCACUCACAUAAUUGUCAAUCAUCCCUCUGACCUUUUUAAGAAUUUACAUCUUACCAUCUCUGAUUGAAGCAGCCUUCUCGCUUUAUUUCCUUUAUGUUCAUUUUCCUGUGGGCUCUCCCUUAGAGACACACGGCCGCAGCCACCUCCUCCACAUAUGUAAUACGCCUUCCCCUGCGGCCUUCCGUGGCCACAGCAACAGGGGCUGCUCAACCGCUCCAGCUGGGCUUUUUUAACAAGCACUGUCAGAAAUGCACAGGCCCGGGGUGGGGGAUGAACAGAAGUUGAUUAGUGGGCACAGAAAUACAGUUAGAUAGAAGGAAUAGUUGGAGCAUUCGAUAUUACAGUAGGGAGACUGCAUCUAACAAUAAUUGAUUGUGUAUUUGAAAAUAGCUAGAAGAAUCAGAAUAUUCCCAGAACAAAGAAAAGAUAAGCGAGGUGAAGGAAAUCCCAGUUACCCUCAUUCAGUCCAUUACACAUUCCAUACAGGUCUCAAAAUAUCACAGGGACCUCAAAGACAUGUACAGUUCUUAGUUUAACAUUUUUGAAAGAAAAGAAAACCGGCCAGAGCAUUAAAACAAAUAAAAUAAGAAACACAAAGACCAGUGUUAGGUGAAGAACUCCAGUGCUUCAGAAAGAGAAUAGCAGCACUCCCUUACCCUGGGAACACGGCCAGUUGACAAAAUGGGUUUUGGUUUUUUUGUUUUGUUUUGUUUUACCAUUGGUAAUAAGAUAGUUAACAUAAGUGGUCAGAACUUCGCUGAAUUUGUAAUAAAGCAUUUGUUAAGCGUGUAGAAGUCUAAAUCAAAAGUCUUCAAGAAAAACAGCUAUAGCAAUGAGCCUGGACAUUUUUCAAAAAAAAAAAAAAAGAAAGCUAAGCCGUCCUACCAGCAGUCUCUUGCUCCUAAGAAUGUCAUGCCUUUUCAAGACCUGAUGCAAGGAAUAAGAUAUUUGUGCCUUUUUAUAAUAGCAUCUAUUAUGAAAGUAAAAUUCAGUUGCUUACAGUUUGGCCGCUUUGUAGCACUAUUAUAAACAGCCCAAAUGUAUGGUCUUGGCCGUACUGCAUGACACAUGGCCUGGUCACCUGUAAUGGAAUAUGCUGCAGUGGUGGUUUGCCAAGCUUCUGUGGAUGUCUGAAGACUUUAUUUUUGCAGUCUUAACCUUGGGCUGGACCUAAGUGUAUAUAAACCAUGUGAUGUCUGUAUUGUUUAUAGAUGCUGACAAAAGAAAACUAGACCUUUUGUUUUUUGUUGUAAGAUUUUUGUUUUCAUACCUAUGCUCAUAGGAGAUAGUUUGCAAAUGAAAGUUGAUUUGCCAUACUUUUAAAUAAUAUUGUUUUAGCUUGAAUAUUCUAUAAUACACUUUUAUAGAGUAUAACAUGCUAAAUCACUGUUUUGUUGUAAGAAAGGUGUAAACAUUUUGUUAAUAAAAUGCUAUGUUUACAAAUAUAUAUAUA
ensembl:lncRNA